UGAAAAUAAAUACGAAUGCAAUACAAAAAAUCAUUUCACUUACUUUCAACCUUCCUGUUUCUUUAUAAUUUUAGUGUCUGUUAUCCAGUCUGAAAAUAUUUGUCUUUUAAUUGAUGUGUUUGCCAGGUAAUUUUUCUUUUCCAGAUCUCCUCCUCACCAUUCUUUCUAUCCUGGUUACUGCCCCAAAGCUGCAUCAGUUGGGCUCCCAUGACAUCUGGAUUCUAGUUGGGUUCAGCCUUGGGGAACCCAGCAGGAGGUAAAGGAAGGAGAGAGAGUUGACUUGGACAGAUUGUAUCCCUUGGUUGAAGACCACACCUCCCCAGAACGGAUCUCUUUCAUCUCUGGCCAUCUCUUCCUCCCCUCGUCCCUUCAGACCUCAGGAGGGACCAGCGUGGCUGCCGUGCUUCAGGCUGCUGCCCUGGCCUCUGUAACCACACGCUGGUAAACUUCUGCUUCAGAAAUCAACUGUCCUCGUAGUGUCCUAUGCACAGGAGGAAGCAUGAUUCAUCUGAUCGAUGAAUUUGGAAGAACAAUUUGGGCAUGACUGGCACAGUCCUUUCCUCCUCUAUUUCUGCGGCAUCUAAAUGCUUCCAGAGACUCAGCCACUUGGCCUCCUUCUAUCUGGGUGAACCGAGGAGUGAGGGAGAGGAAGCGAGUUGCAUUUGUCCAUCUGCAUCUGUGAUUGGGUAUUUGAAUGGUAUUUUGGGCCAAGAGAGAAUUUCCACUGUGGAAGAGCUAAACUCUGUAUUUGUCUGCUUGAGCUGCUAUGACAAAGUAACACAGACUGAGGGGCUUAAACAUAAGAAAUUUGCUUCUCACAGGUCUGGAGGCUGGAAGUCCAAGAUCAGGGAGCCAGCACUCUUGGGUUCUGGUGAGACUUCUUUCUGGUUUGCAGACUGCUCCCUUCUUGCUGUGAAUUAACAUGGUGGAGAGAGCUUGAACCUUGGUGUCUCUUUCUCGUGUUGUAAAGGCACUAAUCCCAUUAUGAGGGCCCCACUCUUAGGACCUCAUUUAAAUCUAACUAUUUUCUAAAGGCCCCAUCUCCCAAUAUCUUCACUUUAGGGGUUAAGACUUCAAUGUAUGAAUUUUCUACACAAUCUCUUUCAGAAAGUAGAAGAACAAUGCAUAGUUCCCAACUAAAAGUAGAGAUUCAUGUGCUCAUAAACAUAGAAACAAAAAUCUUUCAUCAACUCCAGCUGUAUAUAAAAGUAACAGCUUACUACAACCAAGGGGCUUUUAUCCUAUGAAAGCAAGAUUGGUUUAAUAUUCAAAAAUCAUUCACUCUAAUCCACCAUAUUAACAAUGAAAGAAGA